rnacentral:lncRNA from 1 species
AAUGGACUGCACACAGGCCCGAGUAUGGCUCGACCAACCCCUCCACACCUAUAGGUAGGUUCUUAACCAAUUAUUUCAUCAAAUAAUUUCUAGCAUUUAAUUUUGCCCCAGAUAUCUCUUCAGCAGGUAUGUGGUGCCUCCACUAAAAGUCCUGAUUAGGUCCAACCAUUAACAUGCCAGAAUUUAGUGCAUCUAACAAAUGAGUGAUCAGGCUCGAGUGUGGCUUGACCAACCUGACUAUCAUCAGAAAGACACAACUAAAUCAACAUAUUAUGAAUGAUAAUUUCG